UACGAAGGGUGCAAGCGUUACUCGGAAUUACUGGGCGUAAAGCGUGCGUAGGUGGUGAGUUAAGUCUGUCGUGAAAGCCCCGGGCUCAACCUGGGAAUGGCGAUGGAUACUUGGCUCGCUAGAGUGCGGUAGGAGGAGAGUGGAAUUCCCGGUGUAGCAGUGAAAUGCGUAGAGAAUCGGGAGGAACAUCAGUUGCGAAGGCGGCUCUCUGGACCAGCGACUGAACACUGAGGCACGAAAGCGUGGGGAGCAAACAGG
rnacentral:rRNA from 1 species